rnacentral:lncRNA from 1 species
AGUGCUCGGGUCCCACCGCCCUGAGGCUCGCGCUCGAGCGGGUCAGUCGGUCGGCGGGGCCUGCGCGGGGCCCGGGCCCAUGGCGGCGUCGGCGGCUCUGUCUGCAGCGGCGGCUGCGGCGGCCCUGUCUGGCCUGGCGGUGCGGCUGUCGCGCUCAGCUGCGGCCCGAGGCUCGUACGGCGCCUUCUGCAAGGGGCUCACGCGCACGCUGCUCACCUUCUUCGACCUGGCCUGGCGGCUGCGCAUGAACUUCCCCUACUUCUACAUCGUGGCCUCGGUGAUGCUUAACGUCCGCCUGCAGGUGCGGAUCGAGUGAGCGCCGGCGGCGGCGGCGGCGAAGGCCCGGCUGAAGGGGCGCCCGUGUCCCCGCCCGCCCCCGGCCGGGUCGCCGGCAUGAAGGAAAGCUGGGCCGCGGCGGGGGGCGGAGGCGGGGCGGCUCGGACCCCUGGACUCUAGACCUACGCCGCCAGGGCACGACGGCCCAGCCCUGGCCCCGGCUGCGGUCUCAGCCCGGGGGCCCUGGAUCGCGCAGAAACGCACUGAAUGGGCCCCUGCCAUCGGGCUCCAGAAACUACCUGGGCUCGGCCGACCUGUUGCCUCAUAUUGGCCAAAGAGGGGGAAACCAGAAGGAGGGAAUUCUGCUGCGGCGACUUGACUUUCCAGGCCCGGAGCAGAAAGGCAUUGGCAUUUGUAGGCGGUGACCCGCCCCUUCUCUGGCCUUGCCAAGAGUCACAUCCCUGCCCAGGGGCACCUCUGGCCCUGGAACUUGCCUGGGCAGAGGCAGCGUGAAGGGCCUGAACAAGAGGAGAAGAAGGGCCUUCCUAGUAGAGGCACAGCAUGGACAAAGGCUCACAGGGGUGGGGGUGCCCAGUGAUCGAGUCCUGGCUUGGGAAGGAAGGUCUGAGUUCCCUGGGAACUGAAAUCUGCUAGCAGCACUGUGAGAGAGAGAAACCAAAGACAGGAACCAAGUCUGAAACAGAGCCCCAAGAAGAAGCUCUUUUCCUGAGCUACCAGUGCCCCUUGGAGAGGCAGGGAAUUGGGCUGGAAGAAUGGUGGAAUGGAAUAGCAAAGAUGGAAGAUGACCCUGUCCUUUCUGGGUGAGGUCCAGAAGAAAUCCAGGGCUUGGAUGAGGGGUAGACCUGAGAGCCUUCUCCAAAUGGAACUCCCCAGUGGGAGCAGCUGUGGCCACCCUGAGAUGGGUCUACCUGUCUUCCUUCCAUUCCACCUCCAGAGAUUGAUUGGGACCUAAGAGACUGAGUCAGGAGAGGGCAAGAAAGCAGCUAAGUGGGAAGUUUCAGGGGCACUAGAGCAAAUACAUUGAGAAAUGGGAAAUACAAACAGCAUGCAAAAUCAC